ensembl:snoRNA
AUUGAGGUCUAUCCUGGUGGGGCUUCUUCAGUAGUUGCACAUCAUUGGAAACACCUCAUAAAGUAACUGUGGUUUUGCUUUACUCACAGGACCAUUUCUUAGGUCUGAGGGAAGGAACUAUAAGACAGCU